rnacentral:rRNA from 1 species
ACUCAAAUGAAUAGACGGGGACCCGCACAAGCAGUGGAGUAUGUGGUUUAAUUCGAAGCAACGCGAAGAACCUUACCAGGUCUUGACAUCUGGGUGAAAACAGCAGAGAUGUUGUCCCUCUUCGGAGCAUCCAAGACAGGUGGUGCAUGGUUGUCGUCAGCUCGUGUCGUGAGAUGUUGGGUUAAGUCCCGCAACGAGCGCAACCCUUGACUUUAGUUGCCAGCAUUGAGUUGGGCACUCUAGAGUGACUGCCGGUGACAAACCGGAGGAAGGUGGGGAUGACGUCAAAUCAUCAUGCCCCUUAUGACCUGGGCUACACACGUACUACAAUGGCCGGUACAACGGGAAGCGAAGCCGCGAGGCGGAGCAAAUCUUUAGAAGCCGGUCUCAGUUCGGAUUGCAGGCUGCAACUCGCCUGCAUGAAGUCGGAAUUGCUAGUAAUCGCGGAUCAGCAUGCCGCGGUGAAUACGUUCCCGGGUCUUGCACACACCGCCCGU